AACGAACGCUGGCGGCAUGCCUAACACAUGCAAGUCGAACGAUGCCUUCGGGCAUAGUGGCGCACGGGUGCGUAACGCGUGGGAAUCUGCCUUUCGGUUCGGAAUAACUCAGGGAAACUUGAGCUAAUACCGGAUAACGUCGCAAGACCAAAGAUUUAUCACCGAAAGAUGAGCCCGCGUAGGAUUAGCUAGUUGGUGAGGUAAAGGCUCACCAAGGCGACGAUCCUUAGCUGGUCUGAGAGGAUGAUCAGCCACACUGGGACUGAGACACGGCCCAGACUCCUACGGGAGGCAGCAGUGGGGAAUAUUGGACAAUGGGCGAAAGCCUGAUCCAGCAAUACCGCGUGAGUGAUGAAGGCCUUAGGGUUGUAAAGCUCUUUUACCCGGGAAGAUAAUGACGGUACCGGGAGAAUAAGCCCCGGCUAACUCCGUG
rnacentral:rRNA from 1 species